CUCCCUCCUCUGCUCCAAAUCUCCCACGACUUUUACCACACUCAAGACACCUCGGCCAGCCAUUCCUGCCUAACUCCUUCCUCUGAUACCUGUUUCCAACAAAGGUAAUUAAGACCUGAGAUUCCCUGAGCGCUCCAAACUCAAUCCUACAAGCAUUUGAGCGUACCUGUUCCUAGGUCUGAUAUACUUUUGCAGUACUCAUCCCAUUGGUCGCCAGGUGGGGACUUCUCCACAUAACUCCAUACAACUCAUGGCCUGGAUUCAGGACACUAAACUAGAAAUGACCUCCAUUCACUGCCCCCUGUCUCAAGUGAAGACAGUCAUGUGAAGAAUCCCAGGAUAUCAUCACUAUGUCUCAUCAGAGAAUCUGGUCAGCCUUCCUUAUAAAAUACAUACAAAACCCAAAACCCAUACAUUCUCUAACCUCUGCUGCCACCACUCUGGCCCAGACCAUCAACGCUCACCUGGACUAUUUCAGUAGACUUCAUCUUGAUCUCCC
rnacentral:lncRNA from 10 species